rnacentral:misc_RNA from 1 species
AUUUGAUUUCUGAUCCAUGGUCCAGAAUAGUACAAUUUAACAUAAACAUGUUUACUAAAUUUCGGGUGACUAAACAUGAGGAUGCACCAGAGAGUGAGCGGAGGCAGUGGAAUUGGAGGUCAGAAGGAGACUUGUUGCUAAAUGGUGCAUUCUUUACCCCAUCCGGAGCUGGAGCUUCUUCUAAUCAUGCCAGAGCAUCUAGCUUAGGCGCAAUACCAUCUUCCCUAGUGAGUUCAAUCACAGCAGGAUCAGGUGCACUUUUUUGCAAGAAGGGUAAACGUUGUUGAUUAGUGAGUUUGCUUAGAAGCCCAAGAUUGCUCACCAGGAGUGAUCAAGCAUCAAGCAAAAGGCAAAAUAUUAAAAUAGUUGGUUUAAAAAAGAUUAUACAGACAAUUGUGAGUACGUGGGAAUUAGGGUCAUCUUCUUGUAUGAUACUUUCUAAUU